CUUAGCACUGUCCAUUUCUGAGUCCUGUCACUCUCCCCAGCUUGCUGAUUCUAACAACUUUCUGACCUUCAUGUGGCACCAGCUCACAUAAUCUCCUUUGAAUGUCCUCCCCAGGCUGUUACAGAAGGAGAGCAGCAAUCAUGGCUCUCAGAGAAGAGGCUCCUGUCGCAGCGGCUGGAACGUCUGCAGCAGCAGGUCGCAAGGCUGGAAUUUGAGAAGACUGAGCUGAAGCAACUCAAUGCAGAGCUCAGGAAGACUCUUGAGCAGGUGGAGUGUGAACGGAGGAGGCUGAGGAGGUUUUACCGUGAUGGAUCGCUGCCAUCUGACAAGCACAAGAUGCCAGCUUCAAAACAGGAGGAGUCUCAUGCACACUGCAGUCAUCAGUUAACUGAGUUGCAGAACCAGUGGUACUGGCAGUAGCAGCAGCCGCCAAACUUCUCUUCCAUGUACUUUCCCGGGGCUGUUACACCCUGGUCUCCCUGAGGAGGUGAACCUUCGCAGGUGGUCAGAGCAAAAUGUAUGUAAGAUUUGUGUGAGUCAAGUGUGUGAUUAGAUCUGACGAGUGAGCCAAGAACACUGCUGUAGCCAUCAAGGUAUAUGUUAAUC
rnacentral:lncRNA from 14 species